UAUAAAAUUCCCACUUCCUUCUCUUCCUUUUUCCACACUAAUCUAAUCCAUUACACUAUUACACCAUUUCUUCGCUGCCGGCCAUAGCCACAGUUUCCAUAACUUUUUUCGCUCUCUCUGUACUGUGUACUGAAUUUUUUUCGGUACUCGCUAAAGCAGAGAAAAAUCGCAGGCCUAGUUUCUAAUAGUGUUACCUUUUUGGGUGUUCUGAAUCACUGCCAAAGUGCAAGGGUGCAUAUACUGCUACGGCUAUCGCAUCAACAACAGUCAACAACUACUGUUUUUUGUUUUUGUUUUGUCAAUUUAUGGUUUAUGGACCACUAGUACUGCAAAAGUUGGUUUCUGUAAAAGCAAUUUCUGGAAAGGAAAAUCAAGUAUAGUAGUAGUAGGAGUACUACUUACUACUUUGUUGCUUCUAGUUAAUCACUGUAUAUCACAUAGUGAGCGUGAAAAUUAAUCAGUCGCAAAAGAAGAAGAAAAAUGCUUGAAACGGUUAAGUACCUGCUUGGCUCCGCCGGCCCUAGCGGUUUCGGUUCUAAAUCCACCGCUGAAAUUGUCACCGAACAAUCUCCUGAUCUUCGCUCCAUCACCGCUAUCAUCACUGGUGCUACGUCAGGAAUUGGAGCGGAAACAGCGAGAGUUCUGGCCAAACGCGGUGCUAAGCUGAUUUUACCGGCUCGUAGCUUAAAAGCAGCUGAAGAAACCAAAGCUCGUAUUCUCUCCGAAUCGCCGGACGCGGAGGUUAUCGUUAUGGCUCUCGAUCUUAGCUCUCUCAGUUCCGUACGGAAGUUCGUUACCGAAUUUGAGAGUCUGAAUUUUCCUCUCAAUCUUCUUAUAAACAACGCCGGAAAAUUCGCUCACCAGCACGCCAUUUCUGAGGACGGAAUUGAGAUGACUUUCGCUACUAAUCACCUAGGCCAUUUCCUAUUGACGAAGCUAUUACUGAAGAAGAUGAUCGAGACGGCCAAAGAAACCGGCGUUCAAGGAAGAAUAGUGAAUGUGUCGUCAAGCAUACACGGUUGGUUUUCCGGCGACUCGGUUCAGUAUCUCCGACUGAUCACUAAAGACAAAAGUCAAUACGAUGCGACACGUGCAUAUGCUCUCUCGAAGCUGGCUAAUGUUUUGCAUACCAAGGAGCUGGCUCAGAUAUUGAAAAAAAUGGGGGCAAAUGUGACAGUCAAUUGUGUUCAUCCUGGGAUUGUUAGAACUAGACUAACUAGAGAACGCGAAGGCCUUGUCACUGGAAUUUUUGUGGCAGUACUGUUCGAACUAGUCCUCCGCACUUUGAUUAUGUUAUUCGAUAUCUGAUAUCUCCCACCAGUACAUAUAUUGAUCAAUUCUGCCUACCAAAGAUCUGGUGUUCUUUUUGACUUCAAAACUUUUAAAGACUAUUCCACAGGCAGCUGCGACAACUUGCUAUGUUGCAACUCAUCCAAGACUUGCAAAUGUGAGUGGAAAAUAUUUUGCAGACUGUAAUGAAGUUUCUUCUUCAAAGUUGGGUUCCAAUUUAACAGAGGCAGCACGCAUAUGGUCAGCUUCUGAGAUUAUGGUUUCUAAAAAUUCUAAUGCACAUUUAGAUCCAUUGGAGACCUUGCUCUGAUUCUUACCAAAAAAGAAAAAAAAAUUCGGUGAAGGACAUAGUACUGUAGUAUUUUUGGUAUUAUGAGAGAUUAGUGAGUUCUUGUAUAAAGAAAAAGUUUUUGCGAUAAUAUAGUAGGAUAUAUAUACACACAAAUCUAGGAGUAUGUUCGUAUAGUAAGCUAGAUAAUUUAAUAUGUACAUUGGUUUAUUCUCUUCGUAUAUGUAAGUUUGUGAAGUUUAAUUUGAAGCUUACCAAUCGUAAAAUUUCUGAUUGGGAGUUUAUUUUACAUGUAA